AACGAACGCUGGCGGCAGGCCUAACACAUGCAAGUCGAGCGAGGACUUCGGUCCUAGCGGCGGACGGGUGAGUAACGCGUGGGAACGUACCCUUUGCUACGGAAUAGCCCCGGGAAACUGGGAGUAAUACCAUAUGUGCCCUCUGGGGGAAAGAUUUAUCGGCAAAGGAUCGGCCCGCGUUGGAUUAGGUAGUUGGUGGGGUAAUGGCCUACCAAGCCGACGAUCCACAGCUGGUUUGAGAGGAUGAUCAGCCACACUGGGACUGAGACACGGCCCAGACUCCUACGGGAGGCAGCAGUGGGGAAUCUUAGACAAUGGGGGCAACCCUGAUCUAGCCAUGCCGCGUGAGUGAUGAAGGCCCUAGGGUUGUAAAGCUCUUUCAGCUGGGAAGAUAAUGACGGUACCAGCAGAAGAAGCCCCGGCUAACUCCGUG
rnacentral:rRNA from 1 species